UAAUUGACAUUAAUUACACCCUCUUCCGCAUUCCUCGUAAGCCUGUUGCCUCACUUCCGGCGCUAAUAUCAAAUACAGCUACGGCGUUUUUUACCCGAUCUCUUCAAGCAGUUACGUUAAACGACAUAACUCGUAUUAUUCAAACAUUGUACCAGAUCUCAGGAGCUGUAAAGGAGAAGGGCAACAAACUAAAUGUUUUAAGCUACCAUCACAAUUAAGAAGUCCAAUUCCUGACUGACUUACCUACCUGAACCACCUCAACCAUGGAUGAAGAUCAGAACAGGAAGCCAAAAGAGCAAAAUGAAGUAACAUUAAGAAGGGUCUUGGUUUGGAACAGAGAGGAAUCGAUGAAUAAAAUAGCCAAUUGGGAGAAAAGUGGCAAGGACAAGUUUCAACCUUCACCCUUCUGCCUCACAACAAAAGUCCACCUCACGCACUGCACAAGUUGCAACGUCUGCUUUGUGAAGCUGUGGGCUGGAAGAGAUGCUACACUCAACCCUAUUUCUCCAGGCUUGGCCAUGUGUGACUAUCACCUGCUCCUCGAUCUGAAAGGCUAUCUCUGUGGAACACACUGUACCAGUCAUUGAGACAUCAGGCCAGCUAUAAAUGAGUGGCCACUCAAGACAAAACCUUUAAAUUAAUACACGUAGAAAAGGUUUGUGAAUGUUUUAAUAAGUGCAUUAAUGUUCACAAGGGGGCUAUACUGAAAAAUAAAAUGUGUUUCAUUUUACUGGCAUUUCUCUUAAUAAUUUAAUAUGCCAGGCUUAAAAUCCUUUGAUCACUCCUCAUUAAAGGAUUUCCU